UACGGGAGGCAGCAGUGGGGAAUAUUGCACAAUGGGCGCAAGCCUGAUGCAGCCAUGCCGCGUGUAUGAAGAAGGCCUUCGGGUUGUAAAGUACUUUCAGCGGGGAGGAAGGCGAUGCGGUUAAUAACCGCGUCGAUUGACGUUACCCGCAGAAGAAGCACCGGCUAACUCCGUGCCAGCAGCCGCGGUAAUACGGAGGGUGCAAGCGUUAAUCGGAAUUACUGGGCGUAAAGCGCACGCAGGCGGUCUGUUAAGUCAGAUGUGAAAUCCCCGGGCUUAACCUGGGAACUGCAUUUUGAAACUGGCAGGCUUGAGUCUUGUAGAGGGGGUAGAAUUCCAGGUGUAGCGGUGAAAUGCGUAGAGAUCUGGAGGAAUACCGGUGGCGAAGGCGGCCCCUGGGACAAAGACUGACGCUCAGGCGCGAAAGCGUGGGGAGCAAACAGGAUUAGGAUACC
rnacentral:rRNA from 1 species